UGGCUGCGGUAAUUUGACCGUGCUAAGGUAGCAUAAUCAAUAGUUUUCUAAUUUAAAACUGGAAUGAACGGCACGACGAAAAGUAAGCUUUAUUGAAAGUGAAGUUCGAAUUUUACUUCUAAGUGAAAAGGCUUAGAUUAUUGUAAGGGACGAUAAGACCCUAUAAAACUUAAUAAUGUUUAGUUUGUUAAAUUUAUAUGGUGAAGAGUUAAUUAAAUCGGGCUUUAUUUAGUUGGGGUGACUAAGAUAUAAAGAAUAGCUGUCUAGGUUAGACUAAUAAAAUAUAUUUUGUUAUUAAAUCCUUUACUGAAGAUUUAAAACUAAGUUACUUUAGGGAUAACAGCGUAAUUUUUUCUGAGAGUCCUUAUCGAAGAAAGUAGUUGCGACCUCGAUGUUGAAUUAAAAUUUUUGAUUAACGCAGCUGUUAAAGAAAUGGGUCUGUUCGACCUUUAAAAUUU
rnacentral:rRNA from 1 species